CGACUUGGGUCUCUCUUCAUCCCAUAUAAAUCUUUCGCCUUUUACUAAAGAUUUCCAUGGAGAGGGAUAGUGAUGACUUCACAGUAUUUUUGGAGGCUCUGUCCAAGUAGAGUU
rnacentral:snRNA from 1 species